GAUGAACGCUGGCGGCGUGCCUAAUACAUGCAAGUCGAACGAGGUGCUUUUGUAGCAAUACGAGAGUAUCCUAGUGGCGAACGGGUGAGUAACGCGUUGGUGACCUACCCCAAAGUGUGGGAUAACAGUCCGAAAGGAUUGCUAAUACCGCAUGUGGUCUUCAGGUUUAGAAACUGAUGACUAAAGGAGCAAUUCGCUUUGGGAGGGACCUGCGUCCCAUCAGCUAGUUGGUGAGGUAACGGCUCACCAGGGCGACGACGGGUAGGGGACCUGAGAGGGUGACCCCCCACAAUGGAACUGAAACACGGUCCAUACACCUACGGGUGGCAGCAGUAGGGAAUAUUGCACAAUGGGCGAAAGCCUGAUGCAGCAACGCCGCGUGUGCGAUGAAGGCCUUCGGGUCGUAAAGCACUUUUCUGAGAGAUGAGAAAGGACAGUAUCUCAGGAAUAAGUCUCGGCUAACUACGUGC
rnacentral:rRNA from 1 species